rnacentral:misc_RNA from 1 species
AACGCACCUUGCGCUCCGUGGUAUUCCGCGGAGCAUGCCUGUUUGAGUGUCGCGCCCCUCUCUCAACCCCUCGGUCUGCGAAGACGUCGAUGCGGGCUUGGAUCGUGGCCGCCGUGCUCGACCUGUAUGGUCGACGGCCGAAAUGGAUGGCGAGCGCCUUGCCGGCGCGCGGUUCGACCGGAACGUUGUACGCAUCCUCGUUCUCGGGACGCGCGCCGUGGCGGCGCUGCGAAUUGCGCACACCUUUGUGACCAUUGACCUCAAAUCAGGCAGGACGACCCGCUGAACUUAA